AUACUUAGGGUGCAAGCGUUAAUCGGAAUUACUGGGCGUAAAGCGCUCGUAGGCGGCUUGUUAAGUCGGAUGUGAAAUCCCCGGGCUCAACCUGGGAACUGCGCCUGAUACUGUUUAGCUAGAGUAUUGUAGAGGAAAGUGGAAUUUCCGGUGUAGCGGUGAAAUGCGUAGAUAUCGGAAGGAAUAUCAGUGGCGAAGGCGACUUUCUGGACAAAUACUGACGCUGAGGAACGAAAGCAUGGGGAGCAAACAGGAUUAGAAACCCCGGUAGUCC
rnacentral:rRNA from 1 species